rnacentral:rRNA from 1 species
AACGUAGGAGACAAACGUUAUCCGGAGUUACUGGGCGUAAAGGGCGUGUAGGUGGUUUCGUAAGUCUGGCGUGAAAUUUUUCGGCUUAACCGGGAAAGGUCGUCGGAAACUGAACAGCUAGAGUAUGGUAGGGGCAGAGGGAAUUCCUGGUGUAGCGGUGAAAUGCGUAGAUAUCAGGAAGAACAUCGGUGGCGAAGGCGCUCUGCUGGACCAUAACUGACACUCAGGGACGAAAGCUAGGGGAGCGAAUGGG